rnacentral:rRNA from 1 species
AUUGAACGCUGGCGGCAGGCUUAACACAUGCAAGUCGAGCGGAGCGAGGGUGCUUGCACCUUAGCUUAGCGGCGGACGGGUGAGUAAUGCUUAGGAAUCUGCCUAUUAGUGGGGGACAACAUUCCGAAAGGGAUGCUAAUACCGCAUACGCCCUACGGGGGAAAGCAGGGGAUCUUCGGACCUUGCGCUAAUAGAUGAGCCUAAGUCGGAUUAGCUAGUUGGUGGGGUAAAGGCCUACCAAGGCGACGAUCUGUAGCGGGUCUGAGGGGAUGGUCCGCCACACUGGGACUGAGACACGGCCCAGACUCCUACGGGAGGCAGCAGUGGGGAAUAUUGGACAAUGGGCGGAAGCCUGAUCCAGCCAUGCCGCGUGUGUGAAGAAGGCCUUUUGGUUGUAAAGCACUUUAAGCGAGGAGGAGGCUACUAGUAUUAAUACUACUGGAUAGUGGACGUUACUCGCAGAAUAAGCACCGGCUAACUCUGUGCCAGCAGCCGCCGUAAAAC